CAUUACUGUGUUUCAAAAGUACUACUGAAAAUAGAGUAUCUUUCAAGUGAGAAAAAAUGAAAUAUAAAUAAUUUGUUGUGUUAUGUGGUUAGGUAUUGGAGGUAUUAGAAAAGAUGAGUUUAUUGUGUGGAAGUUUUGGAAGAUUUCACGGAACAAAUGUAAAAAGGACCAAAAACUAAUGUCGGGCAGAAGGAGGAAGUGGCUACACUGAUUCGAUCUGGAAACCUCCUUCUUGUUUUUCUUAUCGGCAUGCUCAUGGACAAAGACCAGGGCCUUCCACUACAUUUACAGGGAUGGCCCGGCCCCGCCUAAGCCUCAGCAAUCCGAGUUGCAAGAGCUUGCCUUUGCAUUAGGGUUAAUUUAUCUUAUCCUCAUGCACUAGGGUUUCCGUUAAUAUUAGAACUCCAUCUUUAAAUGAUAAAGAAAAGGAGGUCUGAUAUCUAAACUCAUUUUCCCUUCAAAAACAAUCUCCAUGGACCAAAGCCACUUGCCUGAGCAUAUGUUGGUGGUGUUCAAAGACGACUACAAUGCUAACACAGCAGAAUUGAAUGUCAUACACCGAGUAAUAACAAGUGAUAUCAAUUUACAGAGAAUGUACCUCAAAGAUAAAAGUGAUAGUUAAUUGUUGACAAUGAAGAAUUGACAAACUUUCAAAAGGAUUGGCCGCGUUUUAUUUCCCAAAGUGAGAUUCACCUUUACAUACCAUGAGCUUUUAAUUUAUUCGUUUAUUCUUAUGCUUUGUCAAAUUUUUGUUACAACUUUCGUAAUGUAAAUUGGACCUUAUGGAAGAGAGAGAAAAAUCCUUAUACAAGAGGACAGUGAAGAGCAUAAUCGUGACCGUCUAGUUCUGUAGUUGUGUUGAUGAAAGAAUUUAAGGAAGAGAGAAAAUUUAAGAAGACUCUUCUAAGAGAGUAGAGAUUAUGGUCUUUCCAUACAAUAAAAUGGAUAGAGAAGGAAGUGAAAAAGAUAUUGUUCGUCUUUUGAGAUGGAUAAAGAAUGAUUGGAAAGAAAAUAAGUUCCUAACUUAUUGUUGAAAAAGAAGAUGAUCUAAAGAAUCUUUAAUAUUAAUAAAGAAAUAGAAAUACAUGAUCUAAAAGUGAGGAUAGCUAAAAAUUCAUUUAGAAAUGAUGAAGAGUGUAGUAGAUUUGAGUAUUUAUUUUAGAGAAGAUUAAAAAAAAGUCUUUUAGAAGCUUGAUAUUGACUUGUUUAUAUGUGAUAAAUGAAGGUCUAUAUUUCU